rnacentral:rRNA from 1 species
AACGAACGCUGGCGGCAGGCCUAACACAUGCAAGUCGAACGGAUCCUUCGGGAUUAGUGGCGGACGGGUGAGUAACACGUGGGAACGUGCCCUUUGGUUCGGAACAACUCAGGGAAACUUGAGCUAAUACCGGAUGUGCCCUUCGGGGGAAAGAUUUAUCGCCAUUGGAGCGGCCCGCGUCUGAUUAGCUAGUUGGUGAGGUAAAGGCUCACCAAGGCGACGAUCAGUAGCUGGUCUGAGAGGAUGAUCAGCCACAUUGGGACUGAGACACGGCCCAAACUCCUACGGGAGGCAGCAGUGGGGAAUCUUGCGCAAUGGGCGAAAGCCUGACGCAGCCAUGCCGCGUGAAUGAUGAAGGUCUUAGGAUUGUAAAGCCCUUUCGACAGGGACGAUGAUGACGGUACCUGUAGAAGAAGCCCCGGCCAACUUCGUGCCAGCAGCCGCCGUAAUAC